GAUAGAAUUGGACCUCAAUUUUUAUUUCAAUCCCGAAUUGUUUGAUAAAGCUACCAGUGGAAUACCCGAAUUAAACCUCAACAGCGACCAACAACUCGACAAACUUUGAAUCGCCCUCUGUUCAAAUCAAAAGCCAAUGGCAAAAUCGCGAAAUCAGAACCCAAACUGACCUAAAACAAAUAUCGCGAAAAAACAGAUCAACCCAAACCCAUUUUCAUAUGUCACACUGCUGGAUCAUCUUUUGGCCAUGGGUUGCGACGGAAUCGAAGUUGGUUUGUUGUUACUGCUUAGUCGGAGCUUCGAUGAGCUCAAUCGGCUGCAAGCAUGACUAAUUUCAACACUUUACGAGGAUCCUGACGUCAUUCCAGUGACCUUUGCUCCGUUUUUAUCCUCACUGUUAUUCAACAACGGCGAUUGAUGAUACAUUGCCAGAGAAGAUCGGUCCCAAUCAUCCAUUGUUCCUGAAUGCAGGUGAUAAUUUAGGAGCAGUGCUCUGUAGCUGAAUGGUUCAGAAAACUAUUCAAUUUGGAAUCGAGCAAUAAACAUUGCAAUUGUAGGAAGAAACAAGCUAGGGUUUAUUGAUGUUGAUCCAAAUCUGGUUGUAUUAUGGGAUAGGUGCAAUGCAAUAGUGCUUUCAUGGAUAAUGAGCGGUGUGUCUAAGGAAUUGCUUGGGGGAAUUGUUUACUCGUCUUAUGUUGUCUCUGUGUGGCAUGAUCUUCAGGAACGUUUUGAUAAAGUUGAUGGAUCUCGAACCUAUCAGCUUCAUUAAGAAAUUGCAACAAUUCACCAAGUCAGGUGCAGAGAAGGUGACAGCAUGUCCUUGCUAGCAAGGCGCUUCACUAGUCUAAGAAGAGGAUUAACAAUGUCUUGACCUGUAAAUGCGACAAGAAAGACUCGAACAAGACUACUUUGGUGUUUUGUGAUGCAGAAGCCAUUUUAGUCAUUGAUGUUUCAGUAGGUUCUGAGGCACAGUCUAGGGGUCCAGAUAAACAGUAGAUAUUUCAGAUUGCAGAUCAGAUUGUGCAGUGGUGAGGCUUCUAUGAUCCAGAAGGCUAGUUAUUUCAGAUAAUUAUCUUUAGUUCUAUUUUGGUCUAUUGGGGUCCUUGUUGACAGUUUGUUUAGUCCAUAGUAGAGAUUUCAAAGACUGAGUCAGACAUUAUUAUUCAGAUAUAUCUUGGAUUUUAGUUUUUGGUGU